GAAGGCGGUCACUGGACGUGCCUGUUACGAGCCCGUUUUUGUUUUGCUUAAGAAACAGAUUCCGAUCCGAGCAAAGCCUCCCUACCUCCCGGGGAAUAGGGGGAGAUGGCAGCACGGUGCCGGCGUGGAGAGCGAGAAUAAAAGAACUGCCGAGUACAACCUGUCGUGCAAGCUAGCAGCGCCGGGAAGGAAAGAACCUGGACAAUGAGUCCACUUGCAGUACCAGCUUUAGGCCCAGAGGAGACAUGAGACAUCAAUCAACAUAUGUAAAAUGAACAUUGGUUUGGACUCUGAGGUGAGGAGGGAGCUUGGAGGCUUUCAGAUCACAGGUUCGGGAUGGCACGUUCCUAAUUCCCUCUUGACCACAAAAUGUGAGGAUCUAGCCUCAAAUCUGCAACGCUUGCGUCUAAGAAAAAAAUUGUUUUUAAAUUUCCAUUUAACAGAAAUACAGAUGCAGAGCCAUAUAAUCAUCGGUCUUUGAUCACUCAGCAAAUCACAGAACAAGGAACAAAUCCUAGAGGGGAUGACAGGCCAGUUUUUGACCCUAUAGCCCAGCAACCUCAACACAGAACCGGAACCUUUCCCACAUUAAUCGCAAGGCAAGCAAGUGACAGAUUUUUACUUUUUAGUUCAAUCUUUUUAAAUCAAUUAUAAAAGAUGACAAAUAUACACCUCUCUUGGGAUACUUUAGAUAGGGCCUUAUAUAAGUAUUAUAUGUCCUAAAAUCAGGCAGAUCUUUCUUUAUCCCCGUCACAUAUUUUACAUUUCUGAAAGUAAAACAGGAAAUUACUUCAAGAAAAUGCCUGGAAGAAAAGCAAAUAUUUUCAAACUAUUCAGAAGAAUGGAAUUUUUCAAAAAUUAAAAGUU